ensembl:lncRNA
GCACUCUUUCCACUUUUUCCUCAUCUAUUUCCCAUGAAGUGAUGGGACUGGAUGCCAUGAUCUUCGUUUUCUGAAUGUGGAGGUUUAAGCCAACUUUUUCAUUCUCCUCUUUCACUUUCAUCAAGAGGCUUUUUAGUUUCUGUUCACUUUCUGCCAUAAGGGUGGUGUCUUCUGCAUUUCUGAGGUUAUUGAUAUUUCUCCUGGCAAUCUUGAUUCCAGCUUGUGUUUCUUCCAGUCCAGCAUUUCUCAUGAUGUACUCUGCAUAGAAGUUCAAUAAGCAGGGUGACAAUAUACAGCCUUGAAGUACUCGUUUUCCUAUUUGGAACCAGUCUGUUGUUCCAUGUCCAGUUCUAACUGUUGCUUCCUGGCCUGCAUACAGAUUUCUCAAGAGGCAGGUCAGGUGAUCUGGUAUUCCCAUCUCUUUCAGAAUUUUCCAGAGUUUAUUGUGAUCCACACAGUCAAAGGCUUUGGCAUAGUCAAUAAAGCAGAAAUAGAUGUUUCUCUGGAACUCUCUUGCUUUUUCCAGCAGAUGUUGAUAAUUUGAUCUCUGGUUCCUCUGCCUUUUCUAAAACCAGCUUGAACAUCAGGAAGUUCAUGGUUCAAGUAUUGCUGAAGCCUGGCUUGGAGAAUUUUGAGCAUUACUUUACUAGCAUGUGAGAUGAGUGUAAUUGUGUGGUAGUUUGAGCAUUCCUUGGCAUUGCCUUUCUUUGGGAUUGGAAUGAAAACUGACCUUUUCCAGUCAUGUGGCCAUUGCUGAGUUUUUUAAAUCUGCUGGUAUAUCGAGUGCAGCACUUUCAGAAGCAUCGUCUUUCAGGAUUUGAAACUGCUCAUCUGGAAUUCCAUCACCUCCACUAGCUUUGUUCAUAGUGAUGCUUUCUGAGUCCCACUUGACUUCACAUUCCAGGAUGUCUGGCUCUAGAUGAGUGAACACACCAUCAUGAUUAUCUGGGUCAUGAAGAUCUUUUUUGUACAGUUCUUCUGUGUAUUCUUGCCACCUCUUCUUAAUAUCUUCUGCAUCUGUUAGGUCCAUACCAUUUCUGUCCUAUAUCGAGCCCAUCUUUGCAUGAAAUGUUUCCUUGCUAUCUCUAAUUUUCUUGAAGUGAUCUCUAGUCUUUUCCAUUCUGUUGUUUUCCUCUAUUUCUUUGCAUUGAUCGCUGAAGAAGGCUUUCUUAUCUCUUCUUGCUUUUCUUUGGAACUCUGCAUUCAGAUGCUUAUAGCUUUCCUUUUCUCCUUGGCUUUUCACCUCUCUUCUUUUCACAGCUAUUUGUAAGGCCUCCCCGGCAGCCAUUUUGCUUUUUUGUAUUUCUUUUCCAUGGGGAUGGUCUUGAUCCCUGUUUCCUGUACAAUGUCAUGAACCUCAUUCCAUAGUUCAUCAGGCACUCUAUCUAUCAGAUCUAGGCCCUUAAAUCAAUUUCUCACUUCCACUGUAUAAUAAUAAGGGAUUUGAUUUAGGUCAUACCUGAAUGGUCUUGCAAUUUUCCCUACUUUCUUCAAUUUGAGUCUGAAUUUGGUAGUAAGGAGUUCAUGAUCUGAGCCACAGUCAUCUCCUGGUCUUGUUUUUGUUGACUGUAUAGAGCUUCUCCAUCUUUGGCUACAAAGAAUAUAAUCAAUCUAAUUUCAGUGUUGACCAUCUGGUGAUGUCCAUGGGUAUAGUCUUCUCUUGUGUUGUUGGAAGAGGGUGUUUGCUAUGACCAGUGCAUUUUCUUGGCAAAGCUCUUUUAGUCUUUGCCCUGCUUCAUUCCGUAUUCCAAGGCCAAAUUUGCCUGUUACUCCAGGUGUUUCUUGACUUCCUACUUUUGCAUUCCAGUCCCCUAUAAUGAAAAGGACAUCUUUUGAGGAUGUUAGUUCUAAAAGAUCUUGUAGGUCUUCAUAAAACCAUUCAACUUCAGUUCCUUCAGCG